UCUGUGUUAAAUAAGAACUAGCAGUUUACUUUUGCUCAGCUCAUUUGUCUGCUACCUCCAGUUGUAUAUCAUGAUUGCUGAAAGGAGCUAAUUCUCUUUAAACUUGAGAUUCUACGAGGAUUGAAAUGCUUACUCUGAACUUCCACCUCUUGGGAAUGUAUUUAUCAUCUUUCUCCAAAUUAUCUGAUUAUUGGUAUUCUUAUUAUGUCUCUUAAAUGAUGGGAUUCUACUUUCUUCAGCUGUGAUCUCUUUACAUAAAUCCAAUGGUCAAUCGAGUUACUCUGACUGCCCUUGGUUGUGAGAUUAGUAGUCUGAUAAUUUAUAAUACCAUCCUCUUCCACUACUUAAUAUUGGGUUUUAAGCAGUUUAAUAACCAAUGCAUUAACUAAAACCUUAAUAUGGAUAAAAUGAUUGCUCUCUCUGAAGUUUCACCCGUUGAAAAUGCAUUGGACAUUUUAGAUUUGAUACCACAAGCAGCAAUUCUACAAACCUUUUCUAUAAGACUUUAAACCCGCAAUUCUCUACUGCACUCCUUCCGCCUGCACUUAACAAGCAGAUUUUUAUGGUCUCUCCCCUAGAUGAACUUAGAUUAGAUUUUUAUAGCUGGUAUUAAUUAAUUUUUGUUUUGCAUUUCCUACAAGUUACCCAUCAAUAUGAAAUAAGCACUAGGAGUUUCGUUUUGUUGAUUUUAUAUAUCUGCUUUUGUGGAUGUAAGAUGUGAUUGCUAAAGUGAUCAGCUCCCUAACUAAUGAUUCUAGUGGGAGUAAAUAGUUGCUCCAAAGUUUAAUCACCUCUUGAAGGCGCAUUUAUCAAGCUUCUUGAACCAUUUGAUUAGUGAUUUGUUCGAUAAGUCUCGUAGAUAAUGGGUUUCUGUCUCACUUUUCCUUGGUUAUGAUUUUCUAGUAGUAAAGAUUUGAGGAGUUUUCAGAGCUGUUGGUCAUCAAAUUGGUGUUUGGUUCUAAGAGUCUGCCACGGAAGAUGUACUGUUCAUGCAGUGAAGCUGCACAGAAUUGUUAAGAGUAUCUUCUUACACAAUCAAGUCUAAGCUGCAAGUUUUGAAGCAUAUCGCUGUGGUUAGUCGAGACUGCUGCUACUUGCUGCAAUUAUUUCAUCCGCUGUGAUGAAGGCUAUUAAGCUCAUUCUGCCACCUAUACUUGUUGGUUGCUCCUCUCUUCAUGUGAUUUUGCACUCAAAGAUCAACAUUAACCCUGAUAGCUCUACUUACUAUCCUUGG